UACGUAGGGUGCAAGCGUUGUCCGGAAUUAUUGGGCGUAAAGAGCUCGUAGGCGGUCUGUCACGUCGGCUGUGAAAACCCGAGGCUCAACCUCGGGCCUGCAGUCGAUACGGGCAAACUAGAGUACUGCAGGGGAGACUGGAAUUCCUGGUGUAGCGGUGAAAUGCGCAGAUAUCAGGAGGAACACCGGUGGCGAAGGCGGGUCUCUGGGCAGUAACUGACGCUGAGAAGCGAAAGCGUGGGUAGCGAACAGG
rnacentral:rRNA from 1 species